rnacentral:rRNA from 1 species
UACAGAGGGUGCGAGCGUUGUCCGGAAUCACUGGGCGUAAAGGGCGCGUAGGCGGGAUGGCAAGUCAGUCGUGAAAUCUCUCGGCUCAACCGAGAAACGUCGGCUGAUACUGCCGUUCUUGAGGGAUGCAGAGGAGACUGGAAUUCCUGGUGUAGCGGUGAAAUGCGUAGAUAUCAGGAGGAAUACCGGUGGCGAAAGCGACUCUCUGGACGGCAACUGACGCUGAGGCACGAAAGCGUGGGGAGCAAACAGG